UUUCUACUCCCUCCGUCCGAAAAUACUUGUCAUCAAAAUGGAUAAAAAUAGAUGUAUCUAAAACUAAAAUACGUCUAGAUACAUUUCCUUUUAUCCAUUUUGAUGACAAGUAUUUCCGGACAGAGGGAGUAUUUG
rfam:Triticum aestivum genome assembly, contig: Triticum_aestivum_CS42_TGACv1_scaffold_728737_4BL